rnacentral:rRNA from 1 species
AACGAACGCUGGCGGCAUGCCUAACACAUGCAAGUCGAACGAUUGCCUUCGGGUUAUAGUGGCGCACGGGUGCGUAACGCGGGGGAAUCUGCCCUUAGGUUCGGAAUAACAGCUGGAAACGGCUGCUAAUACCGGAUGAUAUCGCGAGAUCAAAGAUUUAUCGCCUGAGGAUGGGCCCGCGUUGGAUUUGGUGGUUGGUGGGGUAAAGGCCUACCAAGCCGACGAUCCAUAGGUUGUCUGAGAGGCUGAUCAGCCACACUGGGACUGAGCCACGGCCCAGACUCCUACGGGAGGCAGCAGUGGGGAAUAUUGGACACCGGGCCCAAGCAUGAUCCUGCCAUGCCGUGUGAGUGAUGAAGGCCAUAGGGUUGUAAAGCUCUUUUACCCGGGCAGAUAAUGACUGUACCGGGAGAAUAAGCCCCGGCUAACUCCGUG